UGGGGAAUAUUGGACAAUGGGCGAAAGCCUGAUCCAGCCAUGCCGCGUGUGUGAAGAAGGUCUUCGGAUUGUAAAGCACUUUAAGUUGGGAGGAAGGGCAUUAACCUAAUACGUUAGUGUUUUGACGUUACCGACAGAAUAAGCACCGGCUAACUCUGUGCCAGCAGCCGCGGUAAUACAGAGGGUGCAAGCGUUAAUCGGAAUUACUGGGCGUAAAGCGCGCGUAGGUGGUUUGUUAAUUUGGAUGUGAAAGCCCCGGGCUCAACCUGGGAACUGCAUCCAAAACUGGCAAGCUAGAGUACGGUAGAGGGUGGUGGAAUUUCCUGUGUAGCGGUGAAAUGCGUAGAUAUAGGAAGGAACACCAGUGGAGAAGGCGAC
rnacentral:rRNA from 1 species